UAGCAUAUCAAUAAGCGGAGGAAAAGAAACCAACAGGGAUUGCCCUAGUAACGGCGAGUGAAGCGGCAACAGCUCAAAUUUGAAAUCUGGCCCUAGCGGUCCGAGUUGUAAUUUGUAGAGGAUGCUUUUGGUGAGGUGCCUUCCGAGUUCCCUGGAACGGGACGCCGGAGAGGGUGAGAGCCCCGUACGGUUGGACGCCAAACCUCUGUAUAGCUCCUUCGACGAGUCGAGUAGUUUGGGAAUGCUGCUCUAAAUGGGAGGUAAAUUUCUUCUAAAGCUAAAUACCGGCCAGAGACCGAUAGCGCACAAGUAGAGUGAUCGAAAGAUGAAAAGCACUUUGAAAAGAGGGUUAAAUAGCACGUGAAAUUGUUGAAAGGGAAGCGUUUGCGACCAGACUUUUUCCAGGCGGAUCAUCCGGCGUUCUCGCCGGUGCACUCCGCCUGGUUGAGGCCAGCAUCGGUUUCCUUAGGGGGAUAAAGGCCUGGGGAACGUAGCUCCUUCGGGAGUGUUAUAGCCCCUGGCGUAAUACCCCUCGGGGGACCGAGGAACGCGCUCUGCAAGGAUGCUGGCGUAAUGGUCGUCAACGACCCGUCUUGAAACACGGACCAAGGAGUCGAACAUUUGUGCGAGUGUUUGGGUGUCAAACCCUCACGCGUAAUGAAAGUGAACGGAGGUGAGAGCCCUUACGGGUGCAUCAUCGACCGAUCCUGAUGUCUUCGGAUGGAUUUGAGUAAGAGCAUAACUGUUCGGACCCGAAAGAUGGUGAACUAUGCGUGGAUAGGGUGAAGCCAGAGGAAACUCUGGUGGAGGCUCGCAGCGGUUCUGACGUGCAAAUCGAUCGUA
rnacentral:rRNA from 1 species